UAGAGUUUGAUCCUGGCUCAGGACGAACGCUGGCGGCGCGCCUAACACAUGCAAGUCGAACGGGAUCUUUUUGGAGCUUGCUUUAGGAAGAUCUAGUGGCGGACGGGUGAGUAACACGUGAGCAACCUGCCGAAGAGUGGGGGAUAACGUCUGGAAACGGACGCUAAUACCGCAUAACGUACAGAGAUGGCAUCAUUUUUGUACCAAAGGAGCAAUCCGCUUUUUGAUGGGCUCGCGCCCGAUUAGAUAGUUGGUGAGGUAAUGGCUCACCAAGUCGACGAUCGGUAGCCGGACUGAGAGGUUGAACGGCCACAUUGGGACUGAGACACGGCCCAGACUCCUACGGGAGGCAGCAGUGGGGAAUAUUGCACAAUGGGGGAAACCCUGAUGCAGCGACGCCGCGUGAGUGAAGACGGUCUUCGGAUUGUAAAGCUCUGUCUUCGGGGACGAUAAUGACGGUACCCGAGAAGGAAGCCACGGCUAACUACGUGCCAGCAGCCGCGGUAAUACGUAGGUGGCGAGCGUUGUCCGGAAUUACUGGGUGUAAAGGGAGCGUAGGCGGGAAGCCAAGGUUAGAUGUGAAAUACCGCAGCUCAACUGCGGGGCUGCAUCUAA
rnacentral:rRNA from 1 species